GAUGAACGCUGGCGGCGUGCCUAAUACAUGCAAGUCGAGCGAACAGACGAGGAGCUUGCUCCUUUGACGUUAGCGGCGGACGGGUGAGUAACACGUAGGUAACCUACCUAUAAGACUGGGAUAACUUCGGGAAAACGGAGCUAAUACCGGAUAAUAUUUCGAACCGCAUGGUUCGAUAGUGAAAGAUGGCUUUGCUAUUACUUAUAGAUGGACCUGCGCCGUAUUAGCUAGUUGGUAAGGUAACGGCUUACCAAGGCAACGAUACGUAGCCGACCUGAGAGGGUGAUCGGCCACACUGGAACUGAGACACGGUCCAGACUCCUACGGGAGGCAGCAGUAGGGAAUCUUCCGCAAUGGGCGAAAGCCUGACGGAGCAACGCCGCGUGAGUGAUGAAGGUCUUCGGAUCGUAAAACUCUGUUAUUAGGGAAGAACAAACGUGUAAGUAACUGUGCACGUCUUGACGGUACCUAAUCAGAAAGCCACGGCUAACUACGUG
rnacentral:rRNA from 1 species